CUCGUACUAUUUAUAUUUUGUACAGUACCGGUGUAGUGUGGUAUACGUUGCUGUGCGGUGUAGUGUGGCGUUGGGACCCGGUCUGGUGUGCGGUGCGGUGUUGUGCGGGAGCCGUUGCUGGUUAGUGGUCGUUCCUGUGCGGGGCCGGUCUGGUGCGGUACAUUACAGACGGGACUUGUGGAGAUCUAUGUAGCAGUCCUUUGGCGCAGCGGAGUUGUAAUAAGUAUUAUUCACUCUAUGCAUUUAUUCUCUGGAAGUUCAAGGAGCCGGAAGAUAGAGAUCGCGAUGAAACGGAAGCAAUCCAGUAUGAUUUAUUUACGGCUCUCAUGGUAUUGAUUUGUCUCUGUCCGGAUUUGCUUGUUUAUCGCUAGCGUGUUUCGCACCAGUUUAUCCUCGGCUGCCCGAUCUCCGGCCACUCUUGCUCAGUGUAUAUGCUUGUGGACAUUUUAUAUUGUUUGCCCUCUAUUUCCACCUUCGUCAGUUUUCGGCUGAGCCUUUGAAAGUUGGAAGGAAGCUUGCCAGAAAAGAGUAGAUCGACUGUAAAAUUAACUGGUAUAAUUUGCGCAUGUUGUGUACUUCUGCUGAUGUUAAGGAAACGCACGAUGAGAUAGAAUUAACUUAUUUGAGUAUUGGAAACAGUUUUAUUAGUCUGUUUUUAAGCUGUAACAAUUUUAAUCGUUUGAACGUUAUCGUUGCAAGUCUGUCAUUGUAUUAAUGCGAAGCGUGCUGGCGGAAACAGGGACACGAGUGGGAUAUGACAUACUGUUGUUCUUACUUGUCAAAUAA